rnacentral:snRNA from 1 species
GUGCUCAUUUCAGUAACACAUACAAUAACAUUGGAACAAUACAGGGAAGAUUACGAUGGCCCCUGCACAAGAAUGACACGCAAAUUCAUGAAGCAUUCCAUAUUUUC